UUGACUAUGCAAAAUCAGAGUGUUGAAUAGUGCUCUGUGAUUGGUUCGCUUAUGUUACGCACUUCACUCCGCUAACUGACAUUCCUGUCAUUCAAACGGUGCAACGGUUUUUAUGUGUCGUUAAUUUGUGGAUUUAUGAAUUAAAUAAAUAUGGAUAAAACUACAACUAUCAGAUCAAAAAAGCUGCCGUUUUCUUCUUCCGAAAGAGAGCUGCUGAUUGUAGCUAUAAUUUAAGAGAACGGCCUAUUAUUGAAGACAAGCAUACCUUUUAUUAUCCUCUCUAAAAUAUCGAGUUGAAUAAGCAGGCCAGGGAAAAUUAACAGUGACUUACAAUUCUCAACCAUAUUUAUGUUUCACAAAGGCUCACACAUCAACUGCAAACCUGCUGGAAUAAUUUAAAGACCCAAAGAAAGAAAGAACUUUCUCAGGAAUCAAUCAAACGUUCUCAACACCCAAUAGUAUCAAGAAAUUAAGAUUAGUAGUAGCAAGAAUGAAGAUUAAGACAGAAACAAGAAUCAAACGCACCACAUUGAA